rnacentral:lncRNA from 1 species
CACUCCAGCCUAGGCAACUGAGUGAGACUCUAUCUCAAAAAAUAAUAAAUUAAUUAAUUAAUAAUAAAUUAAUAAAAAGCAAUUCUGACUCUCGUAUGACCAAACUAUACAAUCUACUGCCCCUCCUUUAUUGUAUCAUAAAGGUAUUCAGACUUCAUUUAUGUUUUGUGUCUAAAAAACAUAAACAUAUGAAAGCUAUGCAGGGAGACCUUUAUGAUGAUCCACUUCCACUUAAUGGAUAGUAAAGGUCUUCGUGUCACUAGUCCUCACAUUGGACUAGGCUUAGGAAGAGAAAGGGUUGGUUUUGCUGUCUCAAGGGUGACAGAAGUGGAAGAAAAUCCAAGCAUAAGCGAA